rnacentral:rRNA from 1 species
CCUACGGGCGGCAGCAGUGAGGAAUAUUGGUCAAUGGGCUUGCGCCUGAACCAGCCAAGUCGCGUGAGGGAAGACUGCCCUAUGGGUUGUAAACCUCUUUUGUCAGGGAGCAACGCCGGCUACGUGUCGCCGGACUGAGAGUACCUGAAGAAAAAGCAUCGGCUAACUCCGUGCCAGCAGCCGCGGUAAUACGGAGGAUGCAAGCGUUAUCCGGAUUUAUUGGGUUUAAAGGGUGCGAAGGGGGAAGGCCAAGUCUGUGGUAAAAUGGAGGGGCUCAACCUCGUUCGGCCGUUGAAACCGGCGUGCUUGAUUGGGGGAGAGGUAUGGGGAAUGCUUGGUGUAGCGGUGAAAUGCGUAGAUAUCACGAAGAACACCGAUGGCGAAGG